GGGAGGCUUUAUUUUCAUGAAGAAAUUACAUGCAUCCUUUCCUGGUUUCUUUUUAAAGACAAAAACAAGAAACUGGAGUGAGAGACAGAAGAUAGGUUGGGAGAGACUGUAUUCUGCUCUGUCACCAUCUAGUGACAAGAGGCUGUGGUGCUCCAGUGUAUAUCUGGUGACCAGGUGUGGCUGUGUCUCCACUUCUAGAAGGACCAGUGAUGAUUUCCUCAGGUGCGACUUCCUGUGAGGGUGCCCACAACCACGGUGGUCCUGGCCAACUGCAUGGCUGUACUCAGCAACACCUGGGAAGGAAACUCAUAGUUUGUUUCCAUCCCGUGAUUCAUCACUGAUUCAGAUAAAUGACAGAAAGCUUGAAGAAAGGGCAAUGGAUU
rnacentral:lncRNA from 1 species